UGCAGUCGAGCGACUGAUUAGAAGCUUGCUUCUAUGACGUUAGCGGCGGACGGGUGAGUAACACGUGGGCAACCUGCCUGUAAGACUGGGAUAACUUCGGGAAACCGAAGCUAAUACCGGAUAGGAUCUUCUCCUUCAUGGGAGAUGAUUGAAAGAUGGUUUCGGCUAUCACUUACAGAUGGGCCCGCGGUGCAUUAGCUAGUUGGUGAGGUAACGGCUCACCAAGGCAACGAUGCAUAGCCGACCUGAGAGGGUGAUCGGCCACACUGGGACUGAGACACGGCCCAGACUCCUACGGGAGGCAGCAGUAGGGAAUCUUCCGCAAUGGACGAAAGUCUGACGGAGCAACGCCGCGUGAGUGAUGAAGGCUUUCGGGUCGUAAAACUCUGUUGUUAGGGAAGAACAAGUACGAGAGUAACUGCUUGUACCUUGACGGUACCUAACCAGAAAGCCACGGCUAACUACGUGCCAGCAGCCGCGGUAAUACGUAGGUGGCAAGCGUUAUCCGGAAUUAUUGGGCGUAAAGCGCGCGCAGGCGGUUUCUUAAGUCUGAUGUGAAAAGCCCACGGCUCAACCGUGGAGGGUCAUUGGAAA
rnacentral:rRNA from 2 species